GCAUACGGUUGAUUCGUCCCGAUGCCGGAAGCUGGCGGACAUAGAGAAAGGGAACUGAGCAGAAAAAGUACACUGGUUGGGUGGCGAAGC
ncrna:unclassified sequences RAGATH-28 RNA